GAGUUUGAUCCUGGCUCAGAUUGAACGCUGGCGGCAUGCUUUACACAUGCAAGUCGAACGGCAGCGGGGGCUUCGGUCCGCCGGCGAGUGGCGAACGGGUGAGUAAUGCAUCGGAACGUACCCAGUCGUGGGGGAUAACGCAGCGAAAGCUGUGCUAAUACCGCAUACGUCCUGAGGGAGAAAGCGGGGGACCUUCGGGCCUCGCGCGAUUGGAGCGGCCGAUGUCGGAUUAGCUAGUUGGUGGGGUAAAGGCUCACCAAGGCGACGAUCCGUAGCUGGUCUGAGAGGAUGAUCAGCCACACUGGGACUGAGACACGGCCCAGACUCCUACGGGAGGCAGCAGUGGGGAAUUUUGGACAAUGGGGGCAACCCUGAUCCAGCCAUGCCGCGUGAGUGAAGAAGGCCUUCGGGUUGUAAAGCUCUUUCAGUCGGGAAGAAACGGAGCGCUCUAACAUAGCGCUCUACUGACGGUACCGACAGAAGAAGCACCGGCUAACUACGUG
rnacentral:rRNA from 1 species